GUCCACGCCGUAAACGAUGAGAACUAGACGUCGGAGGGGUCUGCUCUUCGGUGUCGCAGCUAACGCGAUAAGUUCUCCGCCUGGGGAGUACGGCCGCAAGGUUGAAACUCAAAGGAAUUGACGGGGGCCCGCACAAGCGGUGGAGCAUGUGGUUUAAUUCGAUGCAACGCGAAGAACCUUACCUGGUCUUGACAUCCUCGGAACCUCGCAGAGAUGUGGGGGUGCCUUCGGGAACCGAGAGACAGGUGCUGCAUGGCUGUCGU
rnacentral:rRNA from 1 species